UCCCAGGGGGGACGGGGGGGACACGACCCCCCCAUCCUGGGGAAAAUAUGAUUUGUCCCCCCCAAUAUAUCACUGUAAACAUAACUAUGUAAUUUCAAUAAUAUUAAUAAUACGCAAUGAAAGCACUUGUACUGAUUAUAGACACUUAAUAGCGCGUUUUUAAAUUUCACAAGAUUGCGACCCCCCCGCCCUUUGCCUCACAAUGGUUUGAUCCACUGCCAGUUCUUUAGCUGGCAAGGUAAUAGAGGGCUCGUAUCUACUGUCCGAAAGGCACUCAAUGUACGUAACUGACGUGAGGCAGAGCAGGCAACAGAUGGCACACAGACAGCAGAGCUGGGGACAGAUAUGCAGGGACAGACUGGCAGAGACAGGGAGUCUCAGGAGACAGACUGUGAGUCAGUGAGGGUGGUGAAAGGGAAAGAGCCAAGGAGAGAGACUUGAGGACAGUGUCACAGCCACGGCAGGACCAGGUGUCACCCUUGUUGCCAGCAGCACCAGUAUAGGGGACAGUGGCACAGCAUCGUCCAGUUACCUCAGUGAUGACACAAAACCAUAUCAGCCACACCCACAAUUUAUAGAACCGCAAACUCUUGCAAACGUUUCAAGAGAGAGGAACACUGCACUGAUAAGGAACAUUGCUAUAACUAUUAUUAGUAGUAGUAUUAUAAUGAUUUAAACAAGUUGGGACAACCCUUCAGUUAACUACUGUACCUAACAAUUAUCCAGUAGUAGUGAUUAUGGUCCCUCAAUAUACAUUUAACAUAUUACAACAUAGUCUAUGUGUUACAGCACUACUUUUGGUGUCCCCCUCAGGAAUUGCUCCUGAGAAAAUUUCAUGUAA